GUGAGCGGCAAAAGCUCAAAUUUGAAACCCUCGGGAUUGUAAUUUGAAGAUUUGGCAUUGGAGAAAGCUAACCCAAGUUGCUUGGAAUAGUACGUCAUAGAGGGUGACAACCCCGUCUGGCUAACCGUUCUCCAUGUAUUGCCUUAUCAAAGAGUCGAGUUGUUUGGGAAUGCAGCUCAAAGUGGGUGGUAAACUCCAUCUGAAGCUAAAUACUGGUGAGAGACCGAUAGCGAACAAGUACUGUGAAGGAAAGGUGAAAAGAACUUUGAAAAGAGAGUGAAAUAGUAUGUGAAAUUGUUGAUAGGGAAGGAAAUGAGUGGAGAGUGGCCGAGGUUUCAGCCGCCCCUCGUGGGCGGUGUACUGCCGACGCCGAGUCAUCGAUAGCGAGACGAGGGUUACAAAUGGGAGCGCCUUUCGGGCGUUCUCCCCUAACCCUCCACACUGCCACCGACAACAUA
rnacentral:rRNA from 1 species